rnacentral:rRNA from 1 species
AGGAUGAACGCUGGCGGCGUGCCUAACACAUGCAAGUCGAACGUCCUGUCUCGCAAGAGGCAGGGAGUGGCGGACGGGUGAGUACCACGUGGGUCAUCUACCGUGAGGUGAGGAAUACCGGCGAGAAAUCGCCGACAAGACCGCAUAGGCUCGAUGCAAGUCGAGCAAAGCUCUUUCGAGAGAGGGAGCGCCACACGAGGAGCCUGCGCCCGAUUAGCUAGCUGGUGGAGUAACGGUUCACCAGGGCGACGAUCGGUAGCUGGUCUGAGAGGACGAUCAGCCACACUGGGAUUGAGAACGGCCCAGACUCCUACGGGGGGCAGCAGUGAGGAAUUUCGCAAUGGGGGCAACCCUGAACGAGCAACGCCGCGUGCAGGAAGAAGGUUUUCGGAUCGUAAACUGCUUUUCUCGGGGAAGAGAACGGACGGUACCCGAGGAAUCAGCCCGGCUAACUACGUGCCAGCAGCCGCGGU